rnacentral:rRNA from 1 species
AUUGAACGCUGGCGGCAGGCCUAACACAUGCAAGUCGAACGAGUGGCGGACGGGUGAGUAAUGUCUGGGAAACUGCCUGAUGGAGGGGGAUAACUACUGGAAACGGUAGCUAAUACCGCAUACCAUCGGAUGUGCCCAGAUGGGAUUAGCUAGUGGGUGGGGUAAAGGCUCACCAAGGCGACGAUCCCUAGCUGGUCUGAGAGGAUGACCGGCCACAGUGGAACUGAGACACGGUCCAGACGCCUACGGGAGGCAGCAGUGGGGAAUAUUGCGCAAUGGGCGCAAGCCUGAUGCAGCCAGGCCGCGUGUAUGAAGAAGGCCUUCGGGUUGUAAAGUACUGUCAUCGGGGAGGCGUUACCCGAAGAGGAAGCACCGGCUAACUCCGUGCCAGCCGCCGCGGUAAUAC